rnacentral:rRNA from 5 species
GGGUUGUGAGGUUAAGCGACUAAGCGUACACGGUGGAUGCCCUGGCAGUCAGAGGCGAUGAAGGACGUGCUAAUCUGCGAUAAGCGUCGGUAAGGUGAUAUGAACCGUUAUAACCGGCGAUUUCCGAAUGGGGAAACCCAGUGUGAUUCGUCACACUAUCAUUAACUGAAUCCAUAGGUUAAUGAGGCGAACCGGGGGAACUGAAACAUCUAAGUACCCCGAGGAAAAGAAAUCAACCGAGAUUCCCCCAGUAGCGGCGAGCGAACGGGGAG